rnacentral:rRNA from 1 species
GACGAACGCUGGCGGCGUGCCUAAUACAUGCAAGUAGGACGCAGUUGCGAACGGGUGAGUCACGCGUAGGUAACUGCCUAUUAGAGGGGGAUAACUAUUGGAAACGAUAGCUAAUACCGCAUACUAGUAGAUGGACCUGCGUUGUAUUAGGCAGUAGGUAGGGUAAUGGCCUACCUAGGCGACGAAACAUAGCCGACUUGUGAGGGUGGUGGGCCACGCUAGUAAUGAGACAAGGCCCAGACUCCUUAGAGAGGCAGCAGUAGGGAAUCUUAGGCAAAUGGGGGGACUCUGACCGAGCGACACCGCGUGAGUGAGGGAGAUUUUCGAAUCGUAAAGCUCUAUUGUUAAGGAAGCGGUACUUAGCCAGAAAAGGACGGGUAACUACGUGCCAGCAGCCGCGGUAAUUC